GGGGACCCUAAAUAACAAUAAGGGGGGGGGACCCUGUUGUCCUCCCCCGGCCCCCACCCAUAAGUGGCCGGUGGGGGCACUAAAUGAAAAUGUUAACCCCCCACCCCCAAAAAAAAUAAACCCCUACCUACCCCUCUCACCCUAAAAAUAGUGAGGGGGGGGGGAACAAGAGAACUAAAUACCUGUAAAAACUAAAUAAAACUUACCAUUUGAUGUCUUCUUUACUCGAAAAUCUUUUUUCAGCCCCCCAAAAAAGCCAAAUAAAAGUCCAUGAUACCUGUCGCACUUUGGGGAAAAAAAACCAGGGCGCAAAAAAAAAAAAAACAGACGCUAAAAAAAAUCCAUCUUUUUUUUUUUUAUAUAUAUUUAUAAGUUUUCUUUUGUUUUUCCAUACAAUGUACAAGACAAAGACAUAAAUACAGUUACAUAUACCAUAGAAAACAUACAAAAACCCUUCUGAAGCAGGAUAUUAUAAAUAUAUUGCACAUAAGCAUACUAGAAAUCUAAACAUCGGGUGGAAUACAUUGUUAUUGCUGUAUUUUCCUUUCUAAAUUCUCUUUUUCAUCGCCUGUUCCAGCAGAGAAAAAAAUAAAUAAAAAAUAAGUAAACAAAUACAACUUACAUAUAUACUUUGCUGAGAGAUUAUCGUGUGCUACUUGAAGGGAAAUGGAGGAGAGAGAUUUAACAAUAAACUUUUAGUUUUACUUUCCCUUCUCCUUCUAACUCUUUCUUUUUAUUUCCCUUUAAUUUCUCCCUUUUAUUGUUUCUCUUCUUUACCCACCUUAUUCCCAUCAAUUUACCCAUCUUAAACUAUAGACUUUGCACCCAGGAACCAUCUAACCCAACUAAGUCCUCCAUGUGGCAAGACAUAUGACAUACUAAAUCUCACUUCCUAAUUUUGUAAUCCAAUUCCCACAUUGUUCUAUUGGUGGAUUGAAAUAGUUAUCUUGUCUCAGUAUCCCUGCCUCCAUUUUACAAUUAUUCAUCACCUGAUGUUUUAUCAUCUCACAAAGGGGAGAAUCUGGGAUCUUCCAAUAUCUUGCAAGAGUAGCUUUAGUUUCUGUAAAUAUAUGUAUAAUUGGUUAUUUUUUAUCCUUUGGGAUUACGGGCCAUCCGAGAUGUAAAAUCAUUGAUUUACAAGAGAAAUCUAGAUCUACCUCUAUCACUUCCUUACAGAAUUUCGCAACCUUUUGCCAUAGGUGAAAUAUCUGGCAAGACCACCAAAUGUGGACAUAAUCUGCUCUAGGAGAGGCACAUCGCCAACACACAUUAUGUGUUUCUGAAUACAUUCUUGCUAAUUUAGCUAGAACGUAAUGCCAUCUAUUAAUAAUCUUGUAAUGACUCUCCGAUAAAUUUAGGCAGUGUGUAGCUUUGAUUAUUGCUCUAUUUGCCCUUGUCUAUUUAUUUCUCGUAAUAAUGAUUUGUAAUACAAUACAUAGUAUAACACUAUAUUAAGGAAUCACUCUACUUAGAAACAAUCUUGCAUCAGUUCACGCACUUCAGUGUCACAAUUGUUAUUUUAUUAACAUUUACUUAUUAAUACAGUUGCACGAAAAAGUAUGUGAACCCUUUGGAAUGAUAUGGAUUUCUGCACAAAUUGGUCAUAAAAUGUGAUCUGAUCAUCUAAGUCACAACAAUAGACAAUCACAGUCUGCUUAAACUAAUAACACACAAAGAAUGAAUUGUGCCAUGUUUUUAUUGAACACACCAUGUAAACAUUCACAGUGCAGGUGGAAAAAGUAUGUGGAUUUAAUAACUGGUUGAACCUCCUUUGGCAGCAAUAACUUCAACCAAACGUUUCCUGUAGUUGCAGAUCAGACGUGCACAAAGGUCAGGAGUAAUUCUUGACCAUUCCUCUUUACAGAACAUUUUCAGUUCAGCAAUAUUCUUGGGAUGUCUGGUGUGAAUCGCUUUCUUGAGGUCAUGCUACAGCAUCUCAAUCGGGUUGAGGUCAGGACUCUGACUGGGCCACUUCAGAAGGCGUAUUUUCUUCUAAGCCAUUCUGUUGUUGAUUUACUUCUAUGCUUUGGGUCGUUGUCCUGUUGCAACACCCAUCUUCUGUUGAGCUUCAGCUGGUAGAAAGAUGGCCUUAGGUUCUCCUGCAAAAUGUCUUGAUAAACUUGGGAAUUCAUUUUUCCUUCGAUGACAGCAAUCCGUCCAGGCCCUGACGCAGCAAAGCAGCCCCAAACCAUGAUGCCCCCACCACCAUACUUCACAGUUGGGAUGAGGUUUUGAUGUUGGUGUGCUGUGCCUUUUUUUUCACCACACAUAGUGUUGUGUGUUUCUUCCAAACAAGUCAACUUUGGUUUCAUCUGUCCACAGAAUAUUUUGCCAGUACUGCUAUGGAACAUCCAGGUGCUCUUGUGCAAACUGUAAACGUGCAGCAAUGUUUUGUUUGGAGAGCAGUGGCUUCCUCUGUGGUAUCCUCCCAUGAAAUCCAUACUUGUUUAGUGUUUUACAUAUUGUAGAUUCGCUAACAGGGAUGUUAGCAUUUGCCAGUGACUUUUGUAAGUCUUUAGCUGACACUCUAGGAUUCUUCUUCACCUCAUUGAGCAGUCUGCGCUGUGCUCUUGCAGUCAUCUUUACAGGACGGCCACUCCUAGGGAGAGUAGCAGCAGUUCUGAACUUUCUCCAUUUAUAGACAAUUUGUCUUACCGUGGACUGAUAAACAGCAAGGCUUUUGGAGAUACUUUUAUAAUCCUUUCCAGCUUUAUACAAGUCAACAUUUUGUGCGAGGCAUCAUUCACAUCAGGCAAUGCUUCUUGUGAAAAGCAAACUCAGAAUUGGUGUGUUUUUUAUAGGGCAGGGCAGCUGUAACCAACACCUCCAAUCUCAUCUCAUGGAUUGGACUCCAGUUGGCUGACAUCUCACUCCAAUUAGCUCUUGGAGAUGUCAUUAGUCUAGGGGUUCACAUACUUUUUCCACCUGCACUGUGAAUGUUUACAUGGUGUGUUCAAUAAAAACAUGGCAAC